UGGGGUAUCUUGGACAAUGGGCGAAAGCCUGAUCCAGCCAUGCCGCGUGUGUGAAGAAGGUCUUCGGAUUGUAAAGCACUUUAAGUUGGGAGGAAGGGCAGUAAGCGAAUACCUUGCUGUUUUGACGUUACCGACAGAAUAAGCACCGGCUAACUCUGUGCCAGCAGCCGCGGUAAUACAGAGGGUGCAAGCGUUAAUCGGAAUUACUGGGCGGAAAGCGCGCGUAGGUGGUUCGUUAAGUUGAAUGUGAAAGCCCCGGGCUCAACCUGGGAACUGCAUCCAAAACUGGCGAGCUAGAGUAGGGCAGAGGGUGGUGGAAUUUCCUGUGUAGCGGUGAAAGGCGUAGAUACAGGAAGGAACACCAGUGGCGAAGGAGACCACCUGGGAUCAAACUGACACUGAGGUGCGAAAGCGUGGGGAGCAAACAGG
rnacentral:rRNA from 1 species